UUCAGCCAAACCCGUCUGUAUAGAGUAAGAGACCGCCUCACACAACCCUAACAUCAGCAGCCGCCAAUCACCUUCUCGAAAACUCACAGCCGCGACACACACACACAGAGUAAGAACAAGAAGAACGACUUGCUCCAUAGAAAUCAGUUCCAAAAUACUCUCACCCUCUUCAUCAAUUUUUCACUAAAAUUAUAUCUUCAUUAGCCAAAAUCUCACUAUGUAGACCACCUGCGGUCACUAUCCUUUCGCCGGAAAACUCCAUUAAUGCUGCUCACAAACCUUUUUCUAAAAGCACUAAUUAACACCCACAAGACAAGUCAUUUAUUUCUUGAGUUAGAGUUUAACAGAGGUCUCAUUCGAGGGUGCCGUACGUAUUUCGGUCGCUGGCUCUAUUUGUAAUUCAAAAUUGCCGAUCAAGUUUUCUGGUCACUUAUCCAGUUGCUCGUUCAAAUAUUUAUUGAUGAUUCAUUGUUGGGUGUUCUUUUGUUAAUCCGGAGUUGAAAAAUUUCGUCAGUAAGGUCCAUUUCUCAUCCUACUUGAAUUUUGAGCGUGAAUGAGGUUCUAUUUCAAGCAUGCUAUUGUCUUUCCCUUAAUCUUCGUAUUUAUGUGCUUAUAUCAC
rnacentral:lncRNA from 1 species